AGACUUCUUGCUCCUGCAACAAGUGUAUGUGUGUAGAGCAGAUCACAGGGGAAGGUAGAAACAAAUGCCCAAUAUAAAUAGGCAUUCAGCAGAAGAGGACACCGAUGCAGAGAAAAGAGAACUUCCCUUCAUGAUGCUAUGCAAUCCCCAGGAGAAGCACGUUGAAAGCUGAGCUUAAGUUCCUUGUAGAUCAUGGAUAUUAGACAAGAAAUAAAGCCACACACCUACAACCAUCUGACCUUUGACAAAGCUGACAAAAGCAAGAGGGAAAGGACUCUAUUCAAUAAGUGCUAGGAUAACUGGCUAGCCAUAUGCAGAAGAUUGAAACUGGACCCCUUCUUUAUACCAUACACAAGAAUCAACUAAAUGAUUGAAGACCUAAACGUAAAACCUAAAACUAUAAAAACCGUAGAAGAUAACCUAGAAAAUACCGUUUUGGACAUACGAACUGGCAAAGAUUCCAAAACAAAAAUGCCACAGGCAAUUGCAACAAAAGCAAAAAUUGACAAAUGAGACCUAACUAAAUUAAACUAAAGAGCUUCUGCACAGCAAAAGAAACUAUCAACAGGGUAAACAGGCAACCUACAGAAUGUGAGAAAAUAUUUGCAAACUAUAUAUCUAAUUCAUAUUUAUUAUAAGUGCAUGUUUACCUGUAUCUCCCAAUCAUUGUACCCUAACACCUAACCCAGAUGGUGACACAUAGUAAGUGCCUUGAUAAAUACUUGUUGAACAAAUCAAUGUUUCAUAGCUUUAGUUCUUUUUGUAAAAUAGAAUGUAAAGUUGGGGGUGGGAGUUUCAUGAAAAUCACAUACCUCUCAGAAAAGAAAACAAAUGGUGAUUAAAAAUGAGUAAAACAAUUACAAAAUAUAUUGUAGCCUUGCCUAUAUCAGACAAUAGCAAAAUAAUAAGGUUCCAGUUUGUACUUUAGAGUUCCCAAAUAAAAAUUUACAAAUCCCAUAAGGGUUGUAAUGAAAUUUGUAUUUCUAAAACCAUGGAAUUUAAACAUUCUUUGAAUAUUUCCUCCACCCUGGUUUCGGUUCAUUGAUAAUAAUCUUUAAAAAAUUGUUCUUAUCCACUGAACUGCACCUGAACAUCACUGGUCGAUUGCAUACCAUGAGCUGUCCGAAAUAGGACAAGCACGAACACAAAAUCACAUACACAUACAUACACGCACAUAACACUGAAACACAUAUACAACGCUGGGGAACACUGUUGUUGAUGGUUCAGUGGGAAGUUUCCAAAUUGGUACAGGUAUACAUGAUAUUUAAUAGUUUAACAAGGCAAGUGACAUAGAGUCAGCGAAUUUUUUCAAGUAUCACUUGCCUAAAGCUGGUGGCUAAGCAUGCUUAAUACCCUUUUGAGGUCCCUCCUAUCUUUGAGCCAACCUACACACUCCCUGUGGAAUGUCCUAGGGCUACAGCCUAGAGACUGCCUCUAAGGGAAUCUCUAGGCCCACCUCCCACUUUCUACUCCAAACCACGUGGUCUUAGUGUCCUCAAUUUCCAUCCUAUUCUUUUUUUACUUUCCAGGACCUUCAGACUGAUUCCUCAGCAGAAGAGGCCACUUGGCCAGAUUCGGCUUUAGCUCUUGGUCUUCCUUUGCUCUGUGCUCUGCAACUCUUGACCAGAGUAGUUCCACUUCUGAGAUCAACCCAAGCUCUAAACACUGCAGCCCAGGUGUACUAGUUCGUUUUCAUGCUGCUGAUAAAGACAUACCUGAGACGGGGCAAUUUACAAAGGAAAGAGGUUUAAUGGAGAACUCACAGUUCUACGUGGCUGGGGAAGCUUUAUAAUCAUGACAAAAGGCAAGAAGGAGCAAGUCACAUCUUACAUGGAUGGUGGCAGGCAAAGACAGAGCUUGUGCAGGGAAAUCCCACCUUAUAAAGCCAUCAGGUCUCAUAAGAUUUAUUCAGUGUCACAAGAAUAGCAAGAAUAGCACAGCAAAGACCCACCCCCAUGAUUCAAUAAUCUCCCCCUGGGUCCCUCCCACAACUCAUGGGAAUUAUGGGAGCUACAAGACAAUAUUUGAGUGGAGACACAGAGCCAAACCAUAUCACCAGGUAUAAUACCCAUUUGUCAUUUUAAAGUUUUAGAAGCAGACACUUUACAUUUAGAAGAACACCUAGGGCCCUGCAGAAAGGGCCAAAAAAGGGUCUUCAGCCAAGAAAGAAAGAGACAGAGACAAAGAAUGCAUGCUGAUUUGGGUUGGACAGCUAAGGUAGUCAUGUACUACCCAACAAUGAUGUAGAGAGACAAGCUGUCUGAAGUCAAAGGGAAUUUUGCACUACUCACUGUAGGAAUGUUAAUAUGCUUAAGUGCCAGCAUUUUAAGGAUAUGUGUAGUAUCUAAUUAUGAACAGUAGCAGCUAGAACCAUCAAAACAAAGUGACAAAGACCCUUGGACUAAAAUUAUAAACAUUGGAUAAUUAUGGACUGACUCAGAAAUUUGUAUAAUUUGUUUCUUAACUCUGAU
rnacentral:lncRNA from 1 species